rnacentral:rRNA from 1 species
CCUACGGGUGGCAGCAGUGAGGAAUAUUGGUCAAUGGACGAGAGUCUGAACCAGCCAAGUAGCGUGAAGGAUGACUGCCCUAUGGGUUGUAAACUUCUUUUAUAUGGGAAUAAAACGUUCCACGUGUGGGAUUUUGUAUGUACCAUAUGAAUAAGGAUCGGCUAACUCCGUGCCAGCAGCCGCGGUAAUACGGAGGAUCCGAGCGUUAUCCGGAUUUAUUGGGUUUAAAGGGAGCGUAGGUGGAUUGUUAAGUCAGUUGUGAAAGUUUGCGGCUCAACCGUAAAAUUGCAGUUGAAACUGGCAGUCUUGAAUACAGUAGAGGUGGGCGGAAUUCGUGGUGUAGCGGUGAAAUGCUUAGAUAUCACGAAGAACUCCGAUUGCGAAGGCAGUUCACUGGACUGCAACUGACACUGAGGAUCGAAAGUGUGGGUAUCAAACAGGAUUAGAUACCCGUGUAGUC